AUUGAACGCUGGCGGCAGGCCUAACACAUGCAAGUCGAACGGUAACAGGAAGAAGCUUGCUUCUUUGCUGACGAGUGGCGGACGGGUGAGUAAUGUCUGGGAAACUGCCUGAUGGAGGGGGAUAACUACUGGAAACGGUAGCUAAUACCGCAUAACGUCGCAAGACCAAAAAGGGGGACCUUCGGGCCUCUUGCCAUCGGAUGUGCCCAGAUGGGAUUAGCUAGUAGGUGGGGUAACGGCUCACGUAGGCGACGAUCCCUAGCUGGUCUGAGAGGAUGACCAGCCACACUGGAACUGAGACACGGUCCAGACUCCUACGGGAGGCAGCAGUGGGGAAUAUUGCACAAUGGGCGCAAGCCUGAUGCAGCCAUGCCGCGUGUAUGAAGAAGGCCUCGGUUGUAAGUAC
rnacentral:rRNA from 1 species